UACGGGCGGGGCAAGCGUUGUUCGGAAUUACUGGGCGUAAAGGGCUCGUAGGUGGCCAACUAAGUCAGACGUGAAAUCCCUCGGCUUAACCGGGGAACUGCGUCUGAUACUGGAUGGCUUGAGGUUGGGAGAGGGAUGCGGAAUUCCAGGUGUAGCGGUGAAAUGCGUAGAUAUCUGGAGGAACACCGGUGGCGAAGGCGGCAUCCUGGACCAAUUCUGACACUGAGGAGCGAAAGCCAGGGGAGCAAACGGG
rnacentral:rRNA from 1 species